CGAACCGUGGCGGGAGAGUCCUCCCAGUCAUUCACCGGGCAGGCGCCGUAGGAGCAAAUCCUCCCCAGGAAUCUCUCAGGCCCCCGUACCGCCGCGGCUAG
rnacentral:ncRNA from 2 species